rnacentral:rRNA from 1 species
AUUGAACGCUGGCGGCAGGCCUAACACAUGCAAGUCGAACGAGUGGCGGACGGGUGAGUAAUGUCUGGGAAACUGCCUGAUGGAGGGGGAUAACUACUGGAAACGGUCGCUAAUACCGCAUACCAUCAGAUGUGCCCAGAUGGGAUUCGCUAGUUGGUGGGGUAACGGCCCCCCAAGGCGACGAUCCCUAGCUGGUCUGAGAGGAUGGCCAGCCACACUUGAACGGGGACACGGUCCAGACUCCUACGGGAGGCAGCAGGGGGGAAUAUUGGACAAUGGGCGCAAGCCUGAUGCAGCCAUGCCGCGGGGAUGAAGAAAGGCUUCGGGUUGUAAAGUACUUUCAGCGGGGAGGCGUUACCCGCAGAAGAAGCACCGGCUAACUCCGGGCCAGCCGCCGCGGUAAUAC